GGAAGCAGCUGAGAAAGCAGAAAAGCAGCAGGCUACGAUUAACUUUUUGAAGACUGAAAUGGAAAGAAAGAGCAAAAUGAUCCGUGCCCUCCAAAACGAGAACAAAAGCCUCAAAAACAAGCUCCUGUCAGGAAACAAACUUUGUGGUAUUCAUGCAGAAGAGGUAAGGAAG